CUUUGGAAAGGCUAAUCAGAUGCUCAAAAGAAUGCAACCAUUUGUCUCUUAUAUACUUAUGACCUGGAAGCUCCCUUCCAGCUUCAAGUCUUCCCGCCUUUGCUUGAGUUGUCCCACCUUUCCAGACCAAACCAAUGUUCAUCUUGCAUAUAUUGAUUAACACCUCAUGUCUCCCUAAAACGUACAAAACCAAACUGUGCUCUGACCACCUUGGGCACAUGUCGUCAGGACCUCCUGAGGUGUGUCACAGGCACGUGUCCUCAACUUUGGCAAAAUAAACUUUCUAAAUUACCUGAAACCUGUCUCAGAUUUUCAGGGUUGACAUUUUGGUAACCACAGAGGGAUUCUGAGUAGAGGUACCCCUGACCUUUGACAAAUCUAUCAGUGCUUAGUACCAGCAUGAGCUAAUUUUAUGGCUCAAACCAACAGGACAAUUUGCUGAGGUCUGGGAGUACACCCUCCAGAGAAUCCCUGAUCUCCCCAAAUCUGGUCAAAAUCUAAAGUUUAUUUUGCUGUAGAACUCCCCCCACCUUUUUGUUUUUUGGAGUUUUACUUGAUUCCAACAAGGAAUGCAAGAUUUCCUGUUUCCAUGACGAUGGAAGGCAGGUAACUCCUUUAUGGAGUUUGAGCUCACUCCCAGCAGGGAAUAUGAGUUUAACAUUUUUUGUUGUUUUUUUCCUCCUGCUUCUAGAGCGGUAGAAAGCAGUCUUUAGCCUGAGACCCAUCCCUAGUAAUUAAAGCCUCAUCAUCAGGCCCCAUAGAAGAUGCCAAUCAAAAUAAACUGCAUUCCUGAGACACAGGCCAGAAAUUAAAGCUAUUCAACUCCUCAACGCCAAGGGACUACUGUGGAACAGGAAUAAACCUCAUGAAAGAGGAGAAAAUAGCAACGAAUUUUAAAAGCUGGAACACUGAUGGACAACGGUAAAUGCAGGAAUAAGAAACAAAAAACCUAGGCCAGUACUAAAGAAAGCUAAGAAGUAACUAAAAUACCACAGAACGUCCCAAAAGUUUCAGGAAGCAGUGAUAUUUUCAAGUCCAGGAUGUGAAGCCAACCUCACAGGGUUAACAAGAAUUCUGAACAAAAAUAUAGUUAUAAUUAAGCAUUAAUCAGGCUGCACUUUGGCCCACUUCCUUGUAACCAAAAGUCAUGUAGCUCUAGAUACUGAUCACUUGUAUCCUCACUGUUCCUAUAGAUAGAAUUUCUGACAUUAGAGUCAUGGGCUUUUAAGAAUUAAUUGCAUCCCCCAUUGUUCUUAUAGAUGGGAUCUCUGACAUUAAUUAGAAUCAUAAGGCUUUUAAGAAUUGCUUAUGAUUUUUUCAGAUCCUGAAUUCCAGCUGAAGAGUUGACAUCAACCAGUUUGAAGCCUCCCUUCCCCCCGAAGAGGAACAAAAUCAGCAUGAGAAUACUGUU
rnacentral:lncRNA from 1 species